CAGCUGACGGAUACUAAUCGAUCGAGGACUUAACCACAUUUGGUUGAUUCCGGUUUAACAUGUCACUUACUCUUUAUCUAGUUUUGAGAGAACAAACUCUCUAUAUGUCCGGUGAUUACGGCGAAGAGGCCACACCCGUUCCCAUACCGAACACGGAAGUUAAGCUCUUCAGCGCCAAUGGUAGUUGGGGGUUUCCCCCUGCAAGAGUAGGACGUCGCCGGGC
rnacentral:rRNA from 1 species